rnacentral:lncRNA from 1 species
AAAACUGUUGAACUACCCAGUAGUAAAAUUACAGUAAUACGCGUGGUUGCAUAGUAGCACACAGUAUUGGUUAUUGAUGCUUACAUGAGAAGUCACUCAGUUAUACUCAAUUAUUGCUACAGUAAUUGCUGCAUCAUAUCUCUUAUAUUAUUGAUUCAAUUAUUGUCACAGUAUCAUCUGUAGAAUAUGUUAUAUUAUUAAAUCAAUAAUUGAGACG